UACGUGGGGUGCAAGCGUUAUCCGGAAUCAUUGGGCGUAAAGAGUUCGUAGGCGUUUUUUCAAGUUUCAUUUGAAAUCCCGAGGCCUAACCUCGGAACUGGAUGAAAAACUGAGAAGAUUGAGUCUGUUAGGGGGUACUGGAACUCAUAGUGUAGCAGUGAAAUGCGUUGAUAUUAUGAGGAACACCAAGGGCGAAGGCAGGUACCUGGGACAUGACUGACGCUGAGGAACGAAAGCUAGGGGAGCGAAAGGG
rnacentral:rRNA from 1 species